rnacentral:rRNA from 1 species
GACGAACGCUGGCGGCGUGCUUAACACAUGCAAGUCGUACGGUAAGGCCCUUUCGGGGGUACACGAGUGGCGAACGGGUGAGUAACACGUGAGUAACCUGCCCACAACUUUGGGAUAACGCUAGGAAACUGGUGCUAAUACUGGAUAUGUGCUCCUGCUGCAUGGUGGGGGUUGGAAAGCUCCGGCGGUUGUGGAUGGACUCGCGGCCUAUCAGCUUGUUGGUGGGGUAGUGGCCUACCAAGGCGGCGACGGGUAGCCGGCCUGAGAGGGUGACCGGCCACAUUGGGACUGAGAUACGGCCCAGACUCCUACGAGAGGCAGCAGUGGGGAAUAUUGCACAAUGGGCGCAAGCCUGAUGCAGCAACGCCGCGUGCGGGAUGACGGCCUUCGGGUUGUAAACCGCUUUCAGCAGGGACGAAGCUUUUUGUGACGGUACCUGCAGAAGAAGCACCGGCUAACUACGUG